rnacentral:rRNA from 1 species
UAAGGAAUAUUGGUCAAUGGACGCAAGUCUGAACCAGCCAUGCCGCGUGAAGGAUGAAGGUCCUCUGGAUUGUAAACUUCUUUUAUCUGGGACGAAAACGGGAAUUUUAUCUCAAUUGACGGUACCAGAGGAAUAAGCACCGGCUAACUCCGUGCCAGCCGCCGCGGUAAUACGGAGGGAGCGAGCGUUAUCCGGAUUUACUGGGUUUAAAGGGUGCGUAGGUGGGCUUAUAAGUCAGUGGUGAAAUCUCCGAGCUUAACUUGGAAACUGCCGUUGAUGCUAUAGGUCUUGAAUUAUCUGGUGGUAAGCGUAAUAUGUCCUGUAGCGGUGAAAUGCUUAGAUAUUACAUAGAAAACCAAUUGCGAAGGCAGCUUACUACAUAUAAAUUGACGCUGAGGCACGAAAGCGUGGGG